GGUUCGAUUCUGGCUCAGACGGAACGCUGGCGGGGAUGCUUGGCAUGCAAGUCGAACGGGCAGCACGGACUUCGGUCUGGUGGCGAGUGGCGAACGGGUGAGUAAUGUAUCGUGGAACGUGCCUAGUAGCGGGGAUAACUACGAAAGCGUAGUUAAUACUGCAUACGCCCUUCGGGGAAAGCGGGGACCUUCGGGCCUCGCACUAUUAGCGGCCGAUAUCGGAUUAGCUAGUUGGUGGGGUACGGCUCACCUGGUUAAGGACGAUCCGUAGCUGGUUUGAGAGGACGACCAGCCACACUGGGACUGAGACACGGGCCUAGACUCCCUACGGGAGGCAGCAGUGUGGGGAAUUUGGACAAUGGGGGAAACCCUGAUCCAGCCAUCCUGCGUGCGAUGUGAAGGCCUUCGGGUUGUAAAGCACUUCUUUGGCAGGAAGAAACGGCACGGAUACACCCCGUGCACUGACGGCACCUGCAGAAUAAGCACCAGCUAACUACGCGCCAGCAGCCGCGGUAAUACGUAGGUGCAAGCGUUAACUGAAUUACUGGCGCAGCGUGCGCAGGCGGUUCGGAAAGAAAGACAGAACCUAGAGCUUAACUUCUCAACUGCAUUUUUAACUACCGAGCUAGAGUGUGUCAGAGGGAGGUGGAAUCUGCGUGUAGCAGUGAAAUGCGUAGAUAUGCGGAGGAACACCGAUGGCGAAGGGCAGCCUCCUGGGAUAACACUGACGCUCAUGCACGAAAGCGUGGGGAGCAAACAGAUUAGAUACCCUGGUAGUCCACGCCCCAACGAUGUCAACUAGGGGCUGUUGGGGCCUUCGGCUUUGUAGCAGCUAACGCGUGAAGUUGACCGCUCAGAGUACGGUCGCAAGAUUAAAACCCAAAGGAAUUGACGGGACCGCACGCGGUGGAUGAUGUGGAUUAAUUCGAUGCGAACGCGGAAAACCUUACCUACCUCCUUGACAUGUCUGGAAUCCCGAAGAGAUUUGGGAGUGCCUCCGCAAGAGAACCGAACACAGGUGCUGCAUGGCUGUCGUCAGCUCGUGUCGUGAGAUGUUGGGUUAAGUCCUGCAACGAGCGCAACCUUGUCAUUAGUUGCUAUGAAAGGGCACUCUAAUGAGACUGCCGGUGACAAACUGGAGGAAGGUGAUGACGUCAAGUCCUCAUGGCCCUUAAGGGUAGGGCUUCACACGUCAUACAAUGGUCGGGACAGGUGGUCGCCAACCCGCGAGGGGAGCCAAUCCCAGAAACUCGAUCAGGUCCGGAUCGCAGUCUGCAACUCGACUGCGAAGUCGGACUGCUAGUAAUCGCGGAUCAGCAUGUCGCGGUGAAUAUCUCGGUCUGUACACCGCCCGUCUACACCAUGGGAGUGGGUUUUACCAGAAGUAGUUAGCCUAACCGUAAGGAGGGCGAUUACCACGGUAGGAUCUAUGACUGGGGUGAAGUCGUACUGAAGGUAA
rnacentral:rRNA from 1 species